CGUUAAACUAUUGCACAGAAAGAAGAUACACAAUCAUUUUAAUUUAACUACAAAUGAAAUGAGGAGAAGCAGGUAAAAUUUUAGAUUUCUAUUUUUUACAUCUUUAAAAAAGUUUCAUUAUAUAUUUUACCUUUAAUUUUUUCCAUUUUUCUACUGAUGUUUUGUGAUCAUAACAUGAAACACAAAUAUUAAUAGGCUACAUUGAAUUGUAUACGUUUCUCUUCAGUACAUUCAUGUGGCAAUGUUAUCUUCCAACAAUUUCAUAAAACUCAACAACGAUAACAUUCCAUUGUGUAUGCAAAAAGCGCAUGUUGUCUAUUAAGUUUAAUCAGGGACGUUUGAAAAGACAAAGUUAUAGGUUAAACGAAGUAUGAAAUUGCAGAGCAUUAAAGUCUUAAUUGGUUGAGACUAUUUGGUAUUCGCGAAAUAUUUAAUUAUUCUGUAAGCAUAAAUUAUUUGUUGAUAUGCCUUGGAGUUGACUUGCUAUAUCUUAGAAGACUUUGGAGUAAAAUAUAAAAAUUUACAUUGUAUAUAAAUUUUUACCUAUUAGAAGGAACAAGAUGGCGAUAGACAUUUUAAAAAUAAAAUGUAUUCUCUUUAAACAAAGUUGCGAAUCGGAAAAAAAAUUCAUGAAGAAACUAUGAGAUGCUAUAAAAAUUUAUUAAAUUAAAAGCUAAGAAUUAAAAAAAAAAAAAAGACUUCGGAUAACAAAAUAGCGAUAGAUAUUGGACAUAAAUAGGUGUCUAUAUUCAUGUUCUAUUUCCUUCACAGUAUUUAUACUGCCCUUUCCGUGGUUUUACUUCUUAUAUCUCUCUGUUUUUGUCUUCCAUUAGGUGCCGGACAUAGUUAUCGUCCCUUGACUUUCGUAGUAUACGAAUAGAGUCCCUAAUACUGACAGUGUUAAACUCUUCAUACACCUUCCAAAUUUUUGUUUUAUAUUUUAUGCAUAAAAUAGCAUGUACACACAGGUUAGAAUACUGUUUAGAUGUAUUGAUCUAGCCCAGUUUGAAAAGGUGAAAAAUAGUAUGUCUAGAUUUGAACUGUUAACUAUAUUAAACAACCACUAUACAUACAAUUGUCCUAAAUUUAAAUGACAGUUUAUAUACUUUUAUAUGAUUUUGAUACAAUGUGUCUCCUCAUCCAUUAACAUGUUUGUAAUAUAUGUCUGUUUUGUUUUACUAACAUCAUUCUGUUGAGCUGUUCAAUAUAGUUUUGAUAAGAAUUCUUCGACUGCUUUAUACAAUUUUGGAUUAAUCGAAAUUUGUUCUUGCUUUGUUCAUAUUUUAUAAGUUACAUUGAUGAGUAACAUUUGAUUAAAUGCAACACACUAUACAAACAAAUUAAUCACUAACAUAACAUUUCCGAAUUGUCCCAAAUUUAAACUUCCCAAUUGUCCACAAACAAGUUCCCGAUUGUCUCACAAAAUAUCAUUACUUGUUUACCUAUAAUAUCAAAAAGUGGGACAAUCGGGAAAACAUCUUCUUGCCACACUAUCAAAAAUUCAAACACCAUUGAUAUAUAGUCGCCUAUCAGCAAAUAGAGAAAGUUACGAUAAUCACUAACAAGUUACUAUGAUCAUGUCUAAGUUACGAAUAUCUUAUAGUCAACCACAAUACUUAAUUUUAAAAAAUGCCAACCAAUUCAACGAAUGAAGCAUCGUAAGAAUUAUACUCUAGAUAAUCUCCUAUUUAUAUUUAUGACAAUGGUAGGCAUCAAUUAUUAUGUCAGCUGUGUCAAAUACUAAGUAGUAAACUACAUGAUAUUUUCAAACAGUGUGACUCUAUCUCUUUCUAAAGCCUGCUCUAUGAGUUGUCGAGUAUAAUUAUAGCUUUUUACCACUGUUUCGCGUAUCGAUAAUCCUUAAGAUUAUAAACGGUACUUUCUGAACAUGAAAUAUAUUAACAGAGGUAUUGUUCUUAUCAACUUAUCGAGUAUAUUAAAUGACUCUACCAUUCAAAACUGUAUACCUGCUAGUUUGAUAACACAGAACCACAUAUUAUUCCGUACACAUACAAAAAAAACCAAACAGAAGUUAUUUUUAUUAUUAUACGUCAGUAACAUCAGACGUCAAUGUAGAAAAUCUUACUCCUUUAACUUGACACUUUGAAUCGUCGAAGUUAAGAUGAUGAUCCAUAUGGCCAUAUUAUUUCGGGGGAUUUCAAUGUCGUACAAGAAAGAGAAGUUAAAAGUUUUUUGAAAAAAGGAGCAAAAUAUCGUCCUUCAAUUAAAAUAGAUUGGAAAUAGUGUCGUCAGUUCACAUAAGACGCUCCUACGUUGUUUCGUAAAAUUGAUAUAAAGGGGGAAAAUCUGAUAUAAAAAAUGCUUUAUUCUAAAUCAAAUAAUUGUAUGAAUUUGUGGAUAUUCAAAUAUCACAUUUUGAAAAUAGUUUAGAAAUAAAUAAAAUAGUACAUAAUACGCCUAUUUACAGAAUAAGAAACAAAACUUUAAGAAUUUUCAAAACGGUUUGUGUUCGUACCGGCCGACAAAGUAGCCAGUAAUCAGCCAAUGUGGUGGUGGCGGUAUGCCGUAAUUACUACACGGACGUUCUUAAAAAUGAAAAAAGUUAGAUGGUACACAAAAAUAUCAUAACUACACCACAGCUAAAUGUUUCUUCUGGAUAUUUGAAGGUCCCUACUAUGCAUUGGUUACCUAAACUAUACAAAAAUAACAGUAAAUAUAGUUUUAUUUAAGUAGUUUCUUAACUACUAUCAACAAACCUAUCACAAACUUUUGUAAUAAAAAUAUAUGAAAAUAGUGGCAUUAACUAUUUUUGGAUUGCAAAACAUUCUUUGAAUGUUUAAGAUAAAUUGCGUGCCUUUUUAUUAUGUUGACAGUGUUGACCUUUCAGCUCUUAACAUUACACUUUCACACAAUAUCAUUAAUCUAAAGUUUACCUAUGUAAAUAGGUGGUCGUUUGUUAAAUCUGAAUGCAAAUAUACUUGCUAAAAUUUAUCUAAAGCCUUCUUUUCUUCUUCGGUUUAAUCAUAUAAAUCAAUAGAAAUUAUAACAGUAUCAUCUAACAUUCUACAUAAAAUGAAAAACAUUCCGUCUGUUUGUGUCGAAACACUAAAAAGAUACGGUAUGGUUGCAAACAUGACGAGAAUGGCUACAAGAUGGAGGUAUAGUUAGCUAUACAACCAGUUUUUAUCCACCAUAUUCUAAACAAUAUAUGUCUCAAUUCAGUGAUAUUGCUAUUGUUUUACUUGUUCCGUGGAUUGAUUGUGUUGAUUUUUAAUUUAAUUCUAUGAACUUCCUCAAUGUGAAUUUAUCUUGGAGCUCAGAAAUUUUGUCAUAUUUUCCCGACAACAUUGUCCUCUUUUAUUAACAUAUAUCAAACUGAUAUUUAAUCUCAGUACAUGAUACUUACAGGAUCAUCUGUUUAAUUUUUGUUGUAAUAUGUUUUAUUUUAUUAGCAAAUUGCAAAUAUAAUACAGGUUAAACGACUGAUCGACAAAUAACACUUAUUUUUUCUUUCCAAAUAAUAUUUAAACAAAUAGGAUUCUUCAGUAUUUUAGUUUGCACACUCCGCUUGAGGCUGUAUUAAAUUUAGUUACACCAAAUCAGGUGUUUGAAUGUUAACUAUUUAUAAAAAUCAUAUCCAAAAUUGGAUUUAUAUCUCGCUUCAAACUUUAAGAAUUUCAUGAUAAAGACUUUCUAUUAUACGUUUUCAAAAAAAUAUGGUAUACUUUUAGCAGUUGAGACUGAUUUUGAAUAUACAAUUACGAUUUUUGUUCCUGUACUAAUUUUCACAAAACCAAAAGAUGCUUAUAUUCUUACCAAAAAUGUGACCAAACAGGAUGACUUCUCUUUUCAAAUUAUACAUUAUUCUUUCUAUUAGCUUUUCUUCAUGAUUGAAUAUUGUGCAGUUAGUUUGAGAUGUGCGUAAUCCUGAUUAUGAACGAAACACAUACCACUUGAGCGAAAGGAUCAAUCUUCAUCUAUUUUUUUAGUGCGUGAUUGCAGUGAAGACUCGGAUUUUAAAGUCAAGUAUUAUUUACUUUCUUAAAUCAUUAUAAAUAAUUCAUUAUGGAACACGUUUAUUAAACUUUAUAUCAAAGAUAUAAAUGCAUUUUGGAAAAAUAUGAUGUCACACUCAAAAUUAUACCUAUUGAUACAAAAAAAAAUCAUAAAAAUACUGAACUCGGAGGAAAAUUAUAGUAUAUUAUGUUGUUGAAUCCCAAGUAAUGCGUUUGUAUUUUUUUUUAAAUGAAAACAACGUUAAAUAAUUUUAUGCGUUCGAAGCGGUGUUUUCUGGAUUAACCUUCGUCAGGAACUUUCAAAGCAGAAUAUUUAAAAGCUUAGAAUUAUAAGAACCGAAACAGUGGAAGCGCUUGAUGACAAAAAUCCUGAAAAAAAUAGCCGAAUCCAUCUAAGAUCAACUGGAGUUGAAACCUUAGUCUCUUUAUAAUUCCAAAAUUUAUAAAUAGACAAUUUAAGAAAGGUCUGUUAUAAAUCAUGUUAGUACGGAGGUAGUGACUACUGAGCUAAUGUUCCCCUGGGGCUGAUAGUCUACAAGCAGAAGUAUCAACCAAUUGUUAUAAAAAAAGAAAACCGCACGUUAAAUAAUUGCCUGCGUCUGAAGCGCAUAUCUGGAUUUACCAUCAUCAGAACGCUCAAAUCCGAAUAUAUUAAAGCCUAGAAAGUUUAAGAACUAAACACAGUUGAGGAAUUCAUGGUAAAAAUUACCUUAAAACAACUGUACUUUUUUUAUUCAAUUCACUUACCUUUAGUUUGAAGGCUCAAUCGUUUCUUUUGUUUUUCCGUAUAGCUUGUUCGGUAUUGCAUAAAACCAAUGCCUUCUGUACUGUUGGACGACGCUGCAUAAAGUAAACUUAAAAGUGAAAGGAAUAAGUCAUGUUAGUCAAGCCUUUCAUUCUAUCAUUUACACAUUAUAUUUACAAAGUCAUUGAAACGCUUUCAUAGAUGCUUUUAAAACCAAACAGGACCAGUUCACUAUUACUUUUAUGAUCAUACAUUAGCUAUCUUAUUCACCAAAGGAUUCUUGGACGUAUUGGUAUGGAUGAUCACAAUAUUUGUUUUCUCAACUUCUUUAUUAUCUGUAUUGUUGAAAAAUCUUUUGAAGACUGAAAUUCCCAAGGCUUCCAAUAUUGAACUUAUGAAUGAAACAAUUACAGAAAGGUACUUAUCCAAACACGUAACGGAUCAGCGUUAAACUCAACCGUGGAUGGCCGGUAUAUCGUUGAAAUUUUGUUCUUUGUCUUUUGAUACUUAAUUUGUAACUGAUAAACGCAUAUCCUAGAUAACUGCAAAUUCCACCAAAAUAUUAAAGUUGAACAACGAUUUAGGAAAAAAACGACAGGAUUAAAACUUUGAACAGAUUUAUGUAUUUGAUUACUGAUACAUCAGACAUCUAUAAGUUUAUCAGGUUGGUGAAUGUUGAUAACAUGACAUUGUCCUUUAUCUAAUGAUGUAUAUCUGCUGUAAAUGUGCCACAUUAAAUAAUUCGGCUGCAUUCUGGAAAUAUGUUGUGCAAUAUUUUUCUAAAUAUUGUUAUUGGUACUAAAUUCUAGAAAUUGUCUGUAUUCAAUGACUAAACUUUCCAAGAUUUAACAAUAAAAAAUGUAUUGAAAUCAUUAAAAAAAAUUAACGUGAUUAAAUUAUAAAGACAUGUACUUUUUGUUUUUAACAUUACAAAUCAACUCGUAAGUAACGUCCCAUGAAUUUCUUUACAUGAUAUUGAACCGAUGAAUGCAUUUUUUUCAGGUAUUUUCUUCGUAUAACAUUUCUUUGAAUCCAUAUCAAAAUGAAAUCAAAGUUGUAGUUCGGUGCUAUCACAACCGAGCAAAACAACAUUCAGAUGCAGGCGAUUAUAAUAUUACAGGAAGGAAUAAUGUAUAGCCACGAUGCUAAACAGAUAUACUUCAGAGAUGCCCUUUUCAGUCCUGACAACAAUUGUAUUGACAAACAAGAGCUGUAAAUUACCACCAAGGACCAGGCCAACCAGUAGUGACACGACAAUAAUGAGAGGGUCUUACGAAAGCAACUUCUACUGCUCCGCAUGUUGAUGUAACGGUUUCCAUUAUUCUGAACUUCUACAGAAUCCACUGCAGAAAAUCAUUUUAAUCAAUUGAUCAUCGUUUAUCAACAAUAGGGUAGACUGAAGCAAAUUAAGUCUGAACAUUACCUUAUUAAGUA
rnacentral:lncRNA from 1 species